GAGUUUGAUCUUGGCUCAGGAUGAACGCUGGCGGCGUGCCUAAUACAUGCAAGUCGAGCGAACGGACGAGAAGCUUGCUUCUCUGAUGUUAGCGGCGGACGGGUGAGUAACACGUGGAUAACCUACCUAUAAGACUGGGAUAACUUCGGGAAACCGGAGCUAAUACCGGAUAAUAUUUUGAACCGCAUGGUUCAAAAGUGAAAGACGGUCUUGCUGUCACUUAUAGAUGGAUCCGCGCUGCAUUAGCUAGUUGGUAAGGUAACGGCUUACCAAGGCAACGAUGCAUAGCCGACCUGAGAGGGUGAUCGGCCACACUGGAACUGAGACACGGUCCAGACUCCUACGGGAGGCAGCAGUAGGGAAUCUUCCGCAAUGGGCGAAAGCCUGACGGAGCAACGCCGCGUGAGUGAUGAAGGUCUUCGGAUCGUAAAACUCUGUUAUUAGGGAAGAACAUAUGUGUAAGUAACUGUGCACAUCUUGACGGUACCUAAUCAGAAGCCACGGCUAACUACGU
rnacentral:rRNA from 1 species